rfam:Oryza meridionalis cultivar OR44 (W2112) chromosome 7, whole genome shotgun sequence.
AAUAAGUGCAGUUUUGCACUAUUCAUAUUCAACGUUUGACCGUUCGUCUUAUUUAAAAAUUUUGUAUGAUUAGUAUUUUUAUUGCUAUUAGAUGUUAAAACAUAAAUAGUACUUUAUGUGUGACUAAAUAUUUUCAAAUUUUUCACAAAGUUUUCAAAUAAGACGUACGAUCAAACGUUGGGCACGGAUAUUAUCCAGUUAAG